GAUGAACGCUGGCGGCGUGCUUAACACAUGCAAGUCGAACGAGAAGUGAAGACGGAAACCUUCGGGCGGAAGGCUUUAUUUCGAGUGGCGGACGGGUGAGUAACGCGUGGGUAACCUGCCUCAUACAGGGGGAUAACAGUUGGAAACGACUGUUAAUACCGCAUAAGACCACAGCACCGCAUGGUGCGGGGGUAAAAACUCCGGUGGUAUGAGAUGGACCCGCGUUCGAUUAGCCAGCUGGCGGGGUAACGGCCCACCAAAGCGACGAUCGAUAGCCGAUCUGAGAGGCUGACCGGACACAUUGGGACUGAGACACGGCCCAGACUCCUACGGGAGGCAGCAGUGGGGAAUAUUGCACAAUGGGGGAAACCCUGAUGCAGCGACGCCGCGUGAGUGAAGAAGUAUUUCGGGAUGUAAAGCUCUAUCAGCAGGGAAGAAAAUGACGGUACCUGAGUAAGAAGCCCCGGCUAACUACGUG
rnacentral:rRNA from 1 species